rnacentral:rRNA from 1 species
CCUACGGGCGGCAGCAGUGGGGAAUAUUGCACAAUGGGGGAAACCCUGAUGCAGCGACGCCGCGUGAGUGAAGAAGUAUUUCGGGAUGUACAGCUCUAUCAGCAGGGAAGAAAUAAAGUCCUUCGGUGUUUGGACGGUACCUGACUAAGAAGCCCCGGCUAACUACGUGCCAGCAGCCGCGGUAAUACGUAGGGGGCCAGCGUUAUCCGGAUUUACUGGGUGUAAAGGGAGCUUAGACGGGAGCGCAAGACUGGAGUGAAAUCCCAUGGCUUAACCAUGGAACUGCUUUGGAAACUGGGCAGCGGGAGUGCAGUAGAGGUAAGCGGAAUUCCUAGUGUAGCGGUGAAAUGCGUAGAUAUUAGGAGGAACACCAGUGGCGAAGGCGGCUUACUGGACUGUAACUGACGUUGAGGCUCGAAAGCGUGGGGAGCAAACAGGAUUAGAUACCCUUGUAGUC